GAACAUACUCCAAUCUUACGAUUUUGACAUUAAUCAAACCUCAGGCCAAAACAUUUGCAGUCUGCUUGUAUUUUCGGUAAUAUCGGUCUGCUAAUUUAUUUGUUUUCGGUUCAAGGAAGGCAAAGUAAUGGUAAAACGCAAACUUGAGAUAGAUGGUGGUGAUAGCAAACCACAAAGGAAGCAAUCGACUCCAUGGACUCAAGACGAGACCGAAACUUUGUGCGACUUAAUUUUAAAGCAUGGAACUGGUGCAAUUUUAAAUAAAAGGACAAAUGCGGGUACUAAGGAACAAAGAGAACACGAGUGGAAAACUAUUGAAGCGGACUUUCAGGCUAUAACAAGCAACAAACGUAACAUGCAAACAUUGAAAGCCCGAUUCAAGCGAGUUAUGUAUGAGUUGCGCAUGUAUUCGGCAUGGACUCGGCGA